rnacentral:rRNA from 1 species
AGAGUUUGAUCCUGGCUCAGAAUCAACGCUGGCGGCGUGCCUAACACAUGCAAGUUGAGCGCUUGAGGGGGCAACCCCAAGAGAGCAGCGAACGGGUGAGUAACGCGUGGGUGAUCUUCCUUCGAGUGGGGAACAACAUCGGGAAACUGGUGCUAAUUCCGCAUAAUAUCCCGGGGCUACGAGCCUCAGGAUCAAAGCCGGGGACCGCAAGGCCUGGCGCUUGAAGAUGAGCCCGCGUCCGAUUAGCUAGUUGGCGGGGUAAUGGCCCACCAAGGCUUCGAUCGGUAGCCGGCCUGAGAGGGCGGACGGCCACACUGGAACUGAGACACGGUCCAGACUCCUACGGGAGGCAGCAGUGGGGAAUUUUUCGCAAUGGGCGCAAGCCUGACGAAGCAACGCCGCGUGGAGGAUGAAGGUCUUCGGAUUGUAAACUCCUGUCGACCGGGACGAAUGCACUCGACCUAAUACGUCGGAAUGUUGACGGUACCGGUGGAGGAAGCCACGGCUAACUCUGUGCCAGCAGCCGCGGUAAUACAGAGGUGGCAAGCGUUGUUCGGAAUUACUGGGCGUAAAGGGCGCGUAGGCGGCCUUAUAAGUCUCGUGUGAAAGCCCUCGGCUUAACUGAGGAUCUGCACGGGAUACUGUAAGGCUCGAGUUCGGGAGAGGAAAGCGGAAUUCCGGGUGUAGCGGUGAAAUGCGUAGAUAUCCGGAGGAACACCAGUGGCGAAGGCGGCUUUCUGGACCGACACUGACGCUGAGGCGCGAAAGCUAGGGGAGCAAACGGGAUUAGAUACCCCGGUAGUCCUAGCUGUAAACGAUGAUCGCUGGGUGUGGGGGGUUUUUACUCCCUCCGUGCCGAAGCUAACGCAUUAAGCGAUCCGCCUGGGGAGUACGGUCGCAAGGCUGAAACUUAAAGGAAUUGACGG